AACUUAUAAUAGUAAUCGUUUUAUACUUACAGGUGGAGAUUAUCGACAGGAUAUGCAGUUUUUAAGCAUGUGUCACUCAUGGUACAUCCACAUUACAUUUCUUCCUGAGCUUGCAACAAGCAUUGAAGUAUCAUUUUACAAUUAAAUUGUGGUAAACAAUGGUGGCUGGUUUGCACAAAUGGUUGGUAACAGUUUCUGCUUGUGAAAGUGCUCUUGGCCUAAACCUGUGAUGAGUCUGCUCUCAAUCCACUACCUCAAUGGUUAUCACUGAAUUUUCUCCUUAGAACACAUAAAAAGGUUACGUGGAGCUGAAAUUAUUGAGAGAAGGGCAGUGGGUAGCAGUCGAAAGUGAGCAGAAACCGGGGCAGUAACAGAGAAGAAGAAACAGCAGCAGUUUGUGUGUCUUCCUCCAUUGUAAGCCCUUCCGUGUGUGAGUUUUGUACCAGAAAAUUGCAGCAAUGAUAUGCUAUGUCGAAGUGUGUUUUGUGAGUGUUAUUAGCUUGACAAUGCUACUUCAUGCACUUCCAGAGAAAUUUCAGGGCCUAUAGAGGCCCUGACAGAAGUGAAA